UCUAUACUGUGAAACUGCGAAUGGCUCAUUAAAUCAGUUAUCGUUUAUUUGAUAGUACCUUACUACAUGGAUACCUGUGGUAAUUCUAGAGCUAAUACAUGCUAAAAACCCCGACUUCGGGAGGGGUGUAUUUAUUAGAUAAAAAACCAAUGCCCCUCGGGGCUCCUUGGUGAAUCAUAAUAACUUAACGAAUCGCAUGGCCUUGCGCCGGCGAUGGUUCAUUCAAAUUUCUGCCCUAUCAACUUUCGAUGGUAGGAUAGUGGCCUACCAUGGUGGCAACGGGUAACGGGGAAUUAGGGUUCGAUUCCGGAGAGGGAGCCUGAGAAACGGCUACCACAUCCAAGGAAGGCAGCAGGCGCGCAAAUUACCCAAUCCCGACACGGGGAGGUAGUGACAAUAAAUACUGAUACGGGGCUCUUUUGGGUCUCGUAAUUGGAAUGAGUACAAUCUAAAUCCCUUAACGAGGAACAAUUGGAGGGCAAGUCUGGUGCCAGCAGCCGCGGUAAUUCCAGCUCCAAUAGCGUAUAUUAAAGUUGUUGCAGUUAAAAAGCUCGUAGUUGAACCUUGGGUCUGGCUGGCCGGUCCGCCUCACCGCGAGUACUGGUCCGGCUGGACCUUUCCUUCUGGGGAAUCCCAUGGCCUUCACUGGCUGUGGGUGGAACCAGGACUUUUACUGUGAAAAAAUUAGAGUGUUCAAAGCAGGCCUUUGCUCGAAUACAUUAGCAUGGAAUAAUAGAAUAGGACGUGCGGUUCUAUUUUGUUGGUUUCUAGGACCGCCGUAAUGAUUAAUAGGGAUAGUCGGGGGCGUCAGUAUUCAGCUGUCAGAGGUGAAAUUCUUGGAUUUGCUGAAGACUAACUACUGCGAAAGCAUUCGCCAAGGAUGUUUUCAUUAAUCAGGGAACGAAAGUUAGGGGAUCGAAGACGAUCAGAUACCGUCGUAGUCUUAACCAUAAACUAUGCCGACUAGGGAUCGGGCGGCGUUUCUAUGAUGACCCGCUCGGCACCUUACGAGAAAUCAAAGUU
rnacentral:rRNA from 1 species